UUAACUUGUUUUUAAAUUUAACAGUAAUCAGACUUCAUGAUUUUGAAAUAAAAUAGUUUAAAAUGGGCUAUCGGCAGCCUUACCAACCCUUGGUGAGAAGGGCGUGCUGCCGAAGCAUAAGAUAUAAAGUUCACAAAGGGUUAAGGGACUCAUUCAACCCCCGUGCCUUUUUACGGGCAGGAGGGGUGUGAGAGGAGUUAUGCGCAGAGCACAUCCUUUUUUUUUUAAUGAUCCUUCCGCAGGUUCACCUACGGAAA
rnacentral:misc_RNA from 1 species